AGCGAACGCUGGCGGCAGGCCUAACACAUGCAAGUCGAGCGCCCCGCAAGGGGAGCGGCAGACGGGAGAGUAACACGUGGGAACGUACCCUUCAGUUCGGAACAACCCAGGGAAACUUGGGCUAAUACCGGAUACGUCCGUAAGGAGAAAGAUUUAUCGCUGAAGGAUCGGCCCGCGUCUGAUUAGCUAGUUGGUGGGGUAACGGCCCACCAAGGCGACGAUCAGUAGCUGUCUGAGAGGAUGAUCAGCCUCACUGGGACUGAGACACGGCCCAGACUCCUACGGGAGGCAGCAGUGGGGAAUAUUGGACAAUGGGCGCAAGCCUGAUCCAGCCAUGCCGCGUGGAUGAUGAAGGCCCUAGGGUUGUAAAGUCCUUUCGGCGGGGAAGAUAAUGACGGUACCCGCAGAAGAAGCCCCGGCUAACUUCGUGCCAGCCGCCGCAGUAAAAC
rnacentral:rRNA from 1 species